rnacentral:rRNA from 1 species
CAAUAGCGUAUAUUAAAGUUGUUGCAGUUAAAAAGCUCGUAGUUGGAUUUCUGGUGGGAGCGAUCGGUCUGGCGCUUAGCGCGAGUACUUGCAUCGUCUCCGGCCAUCCUUGGGGAGAGUCUGUCUGGCAUUAGGUUGUCGGGCAGAGGAUCCUCAUCGUUUACUGUGAAAAAAUUAGAGUGUUCAAAGCAGGCUUAUGUCGUUGAAUAUAUUAGCAUGGAGUAAUAAGAUAGGACUUUGGUACUAUUUUGUUGGUUUGCGCACCAAAGUAAUGAUUAAUAGGGACAGUUGGGGGUAUUCGUAUUCCGUUGCCAGAGGUGAAAUUCUUGGAUUUACGGAAGACGAACUACUGCGAAAGCAUUUACCAAGGAUGUUUUCAUUAA